GAACGCACAUUGCGCCCUUUGGUAUUCCGAAGGGCAUGCCUGUUCGAGCGUCAUUAUCACCCCUCAAGCCCCCGGCUUGGUGUUGGAUUUGGUCUCGUCGACCAGUCUCAAAGAUAAUGACGCCGCCCCGGAGGGACGCGGUACGAGGAGCUUGCUUGUUAAGCAUGUAUCGACGAAGACUCUGUGGGCGGUGGUCUUUAACCUAAAUUUUUUAAGUGUUGACCUCGGAUCAGGUAGGAAUACCCGCUGAACUUAAG
rnacentral:misc_RNA from 1 species